rnacentral:rRNA from 1 species
UACGGGGGGGGCAAGCGUUGUUCGGAAUCACUGGGCGUAAAGCGCACGUAGGCGGAUUGUUAAGUCGGGGGUGAAAUCCUGGAGCUCAACUCCAGAACUGCCUUCGAUACUGGCGAUCUCGAGUUCGGGAGAGGUGAGUGGAACUGCGAGUGUAGAGGUGAAAUUCGUAGAUAUUCGCAAGAACACCAGUGGCGAAGGCGGCUCACUGGCCCGAUACUGACGCUGAGGUGCGAAAGCGUGGGGAGCAAACAGG